rnacentral:rRNA from 1 species
CGUGAGCAAUCUGCCUUUGGAUGGGGGAUAACAGCCGGAAACGACUGCUAAUACCGCAUGAUGCAGCGGGGUCGCAUGAUUUUGCUGCCAAAGAUUUAUCGUCCAAAGAUGAGCUCGCGUCUGAUUAGCCAGUUGGCGGGGUAACGGCCCACCAAAGCGACGAUCAGUAGCCGGACUGAGAGGUUGAACGGCCACAUUGGGACUGAGACACGGCCCAGACUCCUACGGAAGGCAGCAG